CUUCAUCUACCUGUUGCGGGCAGAUCAAGUGGAUGUGCGUGUCGAUACCACCAGCGGUCACAAUCUUGUUCUCGCCAGCAAUGACAUCCGUAGAGGAGCCCACCACCAGAUCAGGAUGUACGCCGUCCAUGACAUCAGGGUUUCCAGCCUUGCCAAUACCAGCAAUAAGUCCAUCCUUGAUACCAAUAUCCGCCUUGUAGAUACCAGUCCAAUCGAUAAUCAACGCAUUCGUGAUGACAGUAUCAACACACUCGGUAUGAGACCGAUCAGACGCCUGUCCCAUGCCCUCGCGCAG
rnacentral:sRNA from 1 species